UCCCCUUCCCUCCCUCUCCAUCCCUUCCCUCCCUCUCCAUCCCUUCCCUCCCUCCUCCUCGUCCCAGCUGUAAUAAACUCCCAAAUCUGCUGCUAUUCCACCUUUUCCUCCUUAAAAAUGGGAAUUCAGCUGAUAUUCUCCUUCCUUUCACACCCAGGGAGGUCACAGCUGUAAUAAACUCCCAAAUCUGCUGCUAUUCCACCUUUUUCCUCCUGAAAUUUGGAAUUCAGUUGAUAUUCUCCCCCCUUUCAAACCCUGGGAGGUCACAGCUGUAAUAAACUCCCAAAUUUGCUGCUACCCCACUUUUUUAUCCCCUAAAAGCUGGAAUUUGGCUGAUAUUUUCCUUCCUUUCUGUGCUGGCAGACUGCAGGACAGACUGAACUUGGAGCAAACUCACAAAUGUGCUGCUAUUGAUAAAAAUGUUCAUUAGA